UAGGUCCUGGAGAAUCCAGAUUCUUCAAUUUGAGUGUGAUAGCACUGAUCUAGCUCCAGAGGGUUGUCUUCAGUACUACUCAGGUAUUUCUGGAAAUAUCUCCAGUUUUAACUGGAAGACCACUCCUAAUACAAACGAUGUUAGUUACUCAAACCAUUUGGCAAAUCAGGAUUACAGUGUUUGUGUGAGACGAGAGAGUGGAUACUGUGGAAUAGAAUGGUCUGUACCUACAACCCCUAGCUCCCAGGUUGGAUAUUUCUCAUUAACGGGUUCAGCUCCUGCUACUACUCUCACUUCUACAGAUGUACAGCUGGGGGAUGCGGAGUGUCAGACUGACUAUGUGUCCAUACCACGUGGUACCGGUGGGACUGUUGCAGCUGCGCUGUCAAAAGACCGGUUUUGCGGCCAAGCGCUAGGUUACUGCAAUGAUGACACAUGUGCUACCAGAGCAAUAGGACCAGUUAGGAAAGACAAAUAUAUUUUACUUAAUUAAAGGGAAUGUAGA